rnacentral:rRNA from 1 species
AGUAAAUUGUGAGAUUCAAUUUAAUUUGAAAUUUUGUUAAUUAUUAAUUUUAUUUUUGUUCUAAUUAUUUAAUAAAAUAAUAUAAUGUUUUGUAAUUUUUAUUGAUUUAAUUUUUAUUUAUUAUAGUGAAUAGUAAUGUAUGAGAACUUUCGUUAAUUGAUUAAAAGAAUGUUUUAUUGAUAGUACCUUGUGUAUCAGGGUUUAAUUAUUAUAAUUUUUUAUAAGUAUUUCCCGAAUCUAUAAGAGUUAGUUAUUUAAGAUUUUAAUGUGUCAUAAUUAUUUUCAAUAAAUAACUCGAAGUGAAAUGUUAGUCGUUUAUAGGUGUAUCUGGUUCUUGUGUAAACUUAUUUAAUUGGGGUUUGAAUUUGAAAUUAAAUUAUUAGUUGUUUUUUUUUUAUUUAAGUCUUAUAUUCAGGGGGUUAAUCUCUUGUUUAUUAUUUUAAAAAUUUAAUUUUAUAUUAUGUUGAUUAGGAUUGGUAUUGUUCAUAUUUUUUAGUUUUUAAUAAUUAGGUUUAUUUAUUAUUAUUAUUUUUUUUUUGUUUUUAAUUUUGGUAGUCGAGGUGUAUUAUUAUUUUAUUUUAAUAAGAGAUUAUGUUGGAAUUAUUAUAGUUUAAUUUUAUGAUAUGGGAAAAUUUAUAGAUUAGGAUAAGGAAUUCGGCAAAAAUUUCUUCACCUGUUUAUUAAAAACAUGUCUUUUUGUUUAAAAUUUAAAGUCUGGCCUGCCCACUGGUAAUAGCUAAAGGGCCGCAGUAUAUUGACUGUGCAAAGGUAGCGUGAUCAUUAGUUUCUUAAUUAGGAACUGGUAUGAAGGGUUUGAUGAGGGAAAAACUGUCUCAUUUUUGUUUUUAAAAUUUUAUUUUUAAGUUAAAAAGCUUAAAUUUAUUAGAAAGACGAGAAGACCCUGUAGAGUUUGAUAAUGAUUUAAGUAGUAUAAAGUUUUUGUUAAUUACUAAAGAGUAAUUAUUUUGUUGGGGUGAUGCUAAAAUUAGAAUAACUUUUUGUUUAUUUUUACAUUUUUAAAUGAUUGUUUGAUCCUUAUUUUAGGAACUAUAGAUUAAAUUACCUUAGGGAUAACAGCGUGAUUUUUUUAGAGAGUUCUUAUUGAAAAAAGAGUUUGCGACCUCGAUGUUGAAUUAAAGUUUAUUUUGGGUGUAGAGGCUUAAAUAUUAAGUCUGUUCGACUUUUGAAACUUUACAUGAUUUGAGUUUAGACCGGCGUGAGCCAGGUUGGUUUCUAUCUUUUAUGAGUUAAUGUAUUUUAGUACGAAAGGACCAAAUAUGUAAGUAAUACUUUAAUUUUGAGUAAUAUUGUUAUUUUGGCAGAGUAGUGCGUGAGAUUUAGAAUCUUUUAAUGUAAAUUUUACAUUU